AUGAAAUUUUUGAACAUUGUAUGAAAAAAAAAAAGAGGAACGACGCGAUUCUUCUUCUUCUUUUAGUUGUGCCGUUCAAUCUUCACCUCACCACCUUCCUCUCGCCGUUGCCGCCAGUCUCCGUUCCAUUAGAUAACAGUAAAACGCUCGAAAGAAACACACUUCCUCUUCAUCAUCCUCAGAAACCCUCGACGUGACCAACCUCCUCCUGCCCACUCCAUUUCUGGCUUCCGCCAAACACUAAUCAGAGAAACGAACUCCUCAUCACCUAAGUUUCCAAUUGAAUCAAACCCCACUCUGCACCUAUAGAUGAUGUUUCUUCACCAACGUGAUUGAUUGAAGCAAGAUAAUGGAUAGAGUUAUGAGGCAGAAGAGAUUUAAAUCUAUAAACAACUGCUCUCACUCUGACUCACAUCAUCAUCAUGAUCAUGCAACAAACAACAAGUAUAUGAUUAUUCGGCAAUGCUCAAAUAGUAAUAAGAGUUUUAUUCUGUUCUCAGAGCUCUCUCAAGACGAGAUGCUUGCUAUCCUUACUUUGCUUCCUCUUAAGUGUCUGCUUAACUCUGCAAGGUAUGUCUCCAAAUUUUGGGCUACUGCUAUUUCAGCCUACCUACCUCUCUUAAACCACCUGGUCUUUACGUUUUUAAGACCAGAUCAACGACAAAUUCUUAUUUCUUGAAUAUUCAAGAUCAUGUUAAUGGACAACCUGAAAGGAUUGCUUUGGGAACACCUUCCAGAAUGGGACAUGUAAUAGCUACUUGUCAUGGCAUAUUACUGCUUUGUACUUUUGCUACACUAACUUUUGCAGUAAACCCCAUCCUUAAGUGCUGCUUUAGAAUUCCAAGUCUACCCACUAAUUCAGGAAGGCUCAUUUGUAAUUGAUCAACUAUUGCAUGUGUUCCUCGCACUGCCAAAUUCAAGUUGUUUGUAACAGAUGUACUAAAUGUUUUGGGGGUCAACUGGUAUGUUUUCUACGUCCUAACAAUUGGAGUUGAUAACACCUGGAAAGAGAUAGCUAGAAAAGAAGCUAUCCUUGAGUGUCUUUUUAUUUGGAAACCAGUUUGUAAUGGAGAAAAUGAUGUUUAUUGGAUAACAAGGGAUGGAGUGACUGUGAUGGAUGUUGACAGGGAAAUUAUUAUAGGAGAGUAUCCACUACCACCUCCACGAGUGGAUUCUUCACCGGUUGGGUAUUUUUUAUGGAUGAGAGACCGUCUUUCUUGCAUUGUUUUGGUUAAAGGUAUUAGUAGAAUUAGUAGAACAUAUCAAAUCUAUGCUUUGGAUUUGGAUUUAGGAAAAUGGACUCUUUAUCAUGAGAUGAGACCUUUUGAUUAUGGAGAUACAUGCGGCCACGUACUGGGUUUGAUGUUUCGUUUCUGGAUCAACGAUCAAAUUUUCUUUAUAGCACUUACCAGACCACCAGAAAUCCGAAAAUCAUAUUCAGGCGUUACAAAGAGUAUACUUUUUUGUUACAAUGUCAAGACUGGACAACUGACAAAGACUGAUGACAUUGCAGUGGGCAGUUUUCAGGUUGUGUGGAUGCAGAAGGUGAAAAUUGUUCAGCCACAGAAGUUUGUGCCGGUUGUGUACGUGCGGAAGGUGCAGUUUGUGCAGGUUGUACAACAAUAGCAUUCCCUUGUAACGCUACAAAAAAAAACACAAAUCAAUAAAUUAAAUUAACAAAUUAAUUAAAAAAAAUUAGUGAAAAUACCUAAUACUCUUUUCGUUCUAGAAGCAGAGAGUGCAAAAUUUAUUGCACGAACAAUUCGAUCUCUACACUCAUCCUCCGUAAUUUUGUUAAGUAGGUGAGUCAGAACCAAAUGAUAUCCCUAACAAAACAAAAAAGACAAUUAUUUUAGUCUUACGAAAUAAAAAUUUACCGUCAAAAGAAAUGAAAAAAACUACUUACAUGUUGUUCUUCGUCUGCUAUGAGAAGAAUUUCACCCCCGGUAACUAAAUUCAGCACAGCAUCAUUCCUCAUAGUGUCAUAUGACUCUUCGUCAUCCACAAAUAAAAUAUAUCUUGGGAGUCAAAGUAACCCCAAACAUUAUAAUGGUGAGGAACCCCAUCGCUUCAUUGAUUUGGUCUAUAAACUCUUCAAAAUCUAACAUACAAAGCUCAGCAUAUGUUUCAAUUCCAGGAAUAUCAUAGGCUGUACCAACUGAAGGAAAUAAAGCCAUAAAGGAAAUAUCCUUCCUGGGUUCCUCUUGCAUAGGUUCAGCCACAAAAGUUUCUUGUGUAGGCGUAGGUUCCUCUUGCGUAGGUUCAGCCACAAUUUGUGCUUUGGUAGGUUCCUCAGCAACUGUACCACGGUUACCCUGUAACCUUUUACGUUUCCCAAGAAUAUUUUCUCUAGUAAAAACAUAAGCUGGUUGUUAGAAGUAUGUGAAUAUAAACAUGUUUGUGAAUAUAAAUAUAAAUUCUGUAAAUUCAACAUAGAUAUCCAAUAAGAUGCAUACAUAUUAUGUGCAGGUUGCUCUUGUAUAGGUUCAGCCACAAAUUGUGUAGGUUCCUCUUGUAUAGGUUCAGCCACAAAAGUUUGUGCAGGUUCCUCUUGUGUACAUAGGAGUAAUGAUGGGAUCUACAGUUUGAGGGAUGGUUUGCAAGUGAGGUUAGAUUGACAGUCAAGAGAUCGAAAUGCUGUAAACAGAUAUACGUCAUCUUUUAUCAGAAGAAAAGUUACCAGAAAAAGAAAAAAAAUUAAACACUUUUGUGGUUGAGCAACCUAAACCACAAGAAGAUACACCAACUUAUGUGGCUGAACCUAUACAAGCACAAGUGGUUGAGAAACCUACACCAGCCCCGCAUAGGUAUACUAAAUAUUUAUUGCAAUAUUCAGUAUUUUAUACCUAUGCGGGGCUAGUGUAGGUUCUUCAGCCACUUGUGCUUGUGUAGGUUCAGCCACAAAAAUUGGUGUAUCUUCUUCUUGUGGUGUAGGUUGCUCAGCCACCAAAUUUUUAAUUUUUUUUCUUUUCCUGGUAACUUUUCUUUUGACAAAAGAUGGCAUAUAUCUGUUUACAGCAUUUCAAUCUCUUGGCUGUCUGUCUAACCUCACUUACAAACCUUCCCUCAAACUGUAGAUCCCAUCAUUACUCCUAUGUACACAAGAGGAACCUGCACAAACUUUUGUGGCUGAACCUAUACCAGAGGAACCUACACAAUUUGUGGCUGAACCUAUACAAGAGCAACCUGCACAUAAUAGAGAAAAUAUUCUUGGGAAACGUAAAAGGUUACAGGGUAACCGUGGUACAGUUGCUGAGGAACCUACCCAAGCACAAAUUGUGGCUGAACCUACGCAAGAGGAACCUACACCUACACAAGAAACUUUUGUGGCUGAACCUAUGCAAGAGGAACCUAGGAAGGAUAUUUCCUUUAUGGCUUUAUUUCCUUCAGUUGGUACAGCCUAUGAUAUUCAUGGAAUUGAAACAUAUGCUGAGCUUUGUAUGUAAGAUUUUGAAGAGUUUAUAGACCAAAUCAAUGAAGCGAUGGGGGUUCCUCACCAUUAUAAUGCUUGGGUUACUUUGACUCCCAAGAUAUAUUUUAUUUGUGGAUGACGAAGAGUCAUAUGACACUAUGAGGAAUGAUGCUGUGCUGAAUUUAGUUACCGGGGGUGAAAUUCUUCUCAUAGCAGACGAAGAACAACAUGUAAGUAGUUUUUUUUCAUUUCUUUUGACAGUAAAUUUUUAUUUCGUAAGACUAAAAUAAUUGUCUUUUUUGUUUUGUUAGGGAUAUCAUUUGGUUCUGACUCACCUACUUAACAAAAUUACGGAGGACGAGUGUAGAGAUCGAAUUGUUCGUGCAAUAAAUUUUGCACUCUCUGCUUCCAGAACGAAGAGAGUAUUAGGUAUUUUCACUAAUUUUUUUUAAUUAAUUUGUUAAUUUAGUUUAUUGAUUUGUGUUUUUUUUGGUAGCGUUACAAGGGAAUGCUAUUGUUGUACAAAGAUACAUCAUAAGAAGUAGAGCCUGAUAAUGUGAAGGUAAAGUCUGGGAACACUCGCAGCACCGGAUGUGGGAUUGAUGAUUAACCAAGUUUUCUAAACUCGUGGCCAUUUGUGGGUAAAAUUUAUUUUGUCUUGGAAUUUUACAAUGGGUAUCCAAGACUAAAACGAUUUCUCUACCCACAAAUUUUAUACUCAACUGUAUAUCCU